AUACGUAGGUGGCAAGCGUUGUCCGGAAUUAUUGGGCGUAAAGCGCAUGUAGGCGGUGCCUUAAGUCUGUCGUGAAACUGCGGGGCCUAACCCCGUAUGGCGAUGGAAACUGUGGCACUUGAGUGCAGGAGAGGAAAGGGGAACUCCCAGUGUAGCGGUGAAAUGCGUGGAUAUUGGGAAGAACACCGGUGGCGAAGGCGCCUUUCUGGACUGUUUCUGACGCUGAGAUGCGAAAGCCAGGGUAGCGAACGGGAUUAGAUACCCCGGUAGUCCGGGCCGUAAACGAUGGGUACUAGGUGUGGGAGGUAUCGACCCCUUCCGUGCCGGAGUUAACGCAAUAAGUACCCCGCCUGGGGAGUACGGCCGCAAGGCUUAAACUCAAAUGAAUUGACGGGG
rnacentral:rRNA from 1 species